CGCUUUACUUAGCCAGUGUAG
rnacentral:miRNA from 1 species